GACUGAACUGUUGAUUUAGGUCUGGGAGGAAAAGGAGUUAAUUCACCGAGUGAACGCCGGGUGGUUGAGCUGCUGGUGCGGACGUUCCGCUCCCUUCUCCGCUCCGCCAUACGGUUGUCUAAGCGGAUCACCAGGGUGACAAACUCCUCAAACGAAGAUGGUAUUUCUCUGGACGCCAGCAGAUCCUUCAUUUGACUGUUGAGCGCGUUCUGUAGAACGCCGUGAAGAACCGUAGAAGACCAACCCGUCUCAGCUGCUAGAAUGCGGAACUCGAUCAUAAAGUCCGCCGCUGACUGAUUCCCCUGUCUGAGGUUUAGAAGCCGCUGUAUCGCACUCUCCUCAUAUUGAGGAUGGUCAAAAGCCUUCUUAAAGUCAUCCAGAAAGGUGGCAAAUGGAAGAGUAUCCAGGGAAUUAAAACGGAAAUAAGCCAGGGCCCAUUCUAACGCCCUGUCUCGGAGUAGACCGAUUAUGUAGGAGAUCCUCGAGGCGUCCGAGGAGAAGGAGCGCGGAGAACGAGAAAUGGCCAAGUUGCAUUGAAGCAGAAAACCACCACACUUCACGGGAUCACCUGAAAAAUGAUCUGGAGUGGGGAAUGAGGCGUCCCGAAACACUGGCUCACUAGUGACAGGAUGAGGAACUGGAGGAUCAGCCGGAGGAGAUGUUUCCUGAGGUGGAGCAGAGAGUCGCUUGUGGAUGUCCUCCAAUAAUCCAAAAACCUGACCCAAGCGGAGAUUUGUGGUGGCCUGUUGCUCGUCCAGGGAACGUAAAGCCUUCUCGUGCUCACCAAGCAUUUGUCCCUGUUUGGACAAAGCCGAUUUCCAGGCGUCUGCUGAGUCCAUCUUGUUGGCCAGAUUAUACUGUCACGGCUGGAUUCAGCCGUCGGAAGGAGGGAAGCAGGACCCAAAUAGCAGACGAGAUAAUCGUAAAUGGCAGAACAGGUUUAUUUCACACAAGGGAUCUGGAUGGUCCGAGCUGGAGAGUGUCCGGGGUUCAGGUUCUCUGGGAGGAGAGGAAAAUGGAGGAGGUAGGCUGUCACGGCUGGAUCCUGAGCUGAAGGGUGGAAGGGCGAGCAGGCAGGUGGCAAGGUUUACAGCUGACGAUCGGAGGAGGAGGACUGGAGGUCAGAUGACUGGAAUGCUGGAGUGUAUCAAGGC